AGAGAGAGACAUGCGCGCAUAUCAAUAAGCGGAGGAAAAGAAACUAACAAGGAUUCCCUUAGUAACGGCGAGUGAAGCGGGAAGAGCUCAAAUUUGAAAUCUUCAAGGUUCUACCUUGACGAAUUGUAGUUUAUAGAAGUGUUUUCUGUUAGUGGAGUGGCAAAAGUUCUUUGGAAUAGGACAUCAUAGAGGGUGAGAAUCCCGUAUUUGGUCAUUCCUCCUAGCGUUGUGAUACACUUUCAACGAGUCGGAUUGUUUGGGAAUGCAGUCCAAAAUGGGUGGUAAAUUUCAUCUAAAGCUAAAUAUUGGCGAGAGACCGAUAGCGAACAAGUACCGUGAGGGAAAGAUGAAAAGAACUUUGAAAAGAGAGUUAAACAGUACGUGAAAUUGUCAAAAGGGAAGCGUUUGACACCAGUGUUGUUUUUCCGAAAAUCAAUUACGAAUGUUUUGUUUUUGAGGAGUUAUGACUUCAUCGGCUUGCUCCUUUCUUUACGAAACUUUCUUAAUGCACUUUUCGGUUAACAAGUCAACAUCAAUUCCUUUUGUUGUAAAAGGGUAUGAGGAAGGUGGCUUUCUUUUCGGAGAAAGUGUUUAUAGCCUUGUACCUCUGCAAUCGGAGAGAUUGAGGUCUGCAGCGUAGAUCCUUCGGGGUUAGAUGCAUUUGUGCUAAGUUAUAGCUUUUCAUAGACAACUUGUUGACUAUGUUUAGUCUUGUAGCUUACUCGCUUAUGCUAUUUUACCUACGCUUAGGAUGUUGAUAGUCACAGCGUGUAC
rnacentral:rRNA from 1 species